AUCCUGCCCAGUGAUAUUUAUUCAACGGCCGCGGUAUCCUGACCGUGCAAAGGUAGCAUAAUCAUUUGCCUUUUAAUUGAAGGCUAGUAUGAAAGGACACACAAGAAUAAGACUGUCUCAACUAGGAAAUACUAAACUGGUAUUCAGGUGAAGAACCCUGAAUUCUUAUAAAGGACAAGAAGACCCUAUAGAGCUUUAUUAACUAAAGAAAUUUAACUUAAUAGUUAAUUUGGUUGGGACAACCAAAAGACACCUAAACCUCUUUUAUUUUUAUAAUACUUACACCCAAUACUGUAACAGAAUCCAGCUACCUUAGGGAUAACAGGCUAAUCCUGCUAGAGAGAUCACAUUGACAGCAGGGGUUGGCACCUCGAUGUUGGCUUAGUGUUACCAUUAGGCGCAGCCGCUUAAUAGAGCUGGC
rnacentral:rRNA from 1 species